rnacentral:rRNA from 1 species
ACACUGCACGCACGUGCGAUAAGGGGACUCCGAGUGCGAGGGCAUAUCGUCCUCGCUUUCGUGUACCGUAGGGUGGUACACCAACAAGGGCUGGGCAAGACCGGUGCCAGCCGCCGCGGUAAUACCGGCAGCCCGAGUGAUGACCGAUCUUAUUGGGCCUAAAGCGUCCGUAGCUGGCUGCGCAAGUCCGUCGGGAAAUCCACUCGCCCAACGAGUGGGCGUCCGACGGAAACUGCACAGCUUGGGACCGGAAGGCUCGAAGGGUACGUGCGGGGUAGGAGUGAAAUCCCAUAAUCCCGCACGGACCACCGAUGGCGAAAGCACUUCGAGAAAACGGAUCCGACAGUGAGGGACGAAAGCCAGGGUCUCCAACCGGAUUAGAUACCCGGGUAGUCCUGGCCGUAAACAAUGUUCGCUAGGUAUGACACAGACUACGUGUCUCUGUUGUGCCGUAGGGAAGCCGAGAAGCG